CUGCUGUCCCCCCCCCACCAAAAGGUGUCCCCUCCCCACGUCCCCGCGUCCCUUCCCAUCCCUGAUGUCCCCCAUGUCCGUCUCAUGUCCGUCUGUCCCCAUGUUCCCAUGUCCCCAUACACAACCCCAUCAAUGAUGUCCCCCACAUCCAUGUCCGUCUGUCCCCAUGUCCUUGUCCCCAUGUCCCCACACACAUCCCCACCUCUGAUGUCCCCAUGUCCAUCUCAUGUCCGUCUGUCCCCAUGUCCUUGUCCCCAUGUCCCCACACACAUCCCCAUCUCUGAUGUCCCCAUGUCCAUCUCAUGUCCGUCUGUCCCCAUGUCCCCAAACACAUCCCCACCUCUGACAUCCCUCACAUCCAUCUCACGUCCGUCUGUCCCCAUAUCUUUGUCUCCAUGUCCCCAUGUCCCUAUACGUCCCCAUGUCCCCACAUUUCCCUUGUCCCCACACACAUCCCCAUCUCUGAUGUCCCCAUGUCCAUCUCAUGUCCGUCUGUCCCCAUGUCCCCAUGUCCCCAUACACAACCCCAUCUCUGAUGUCCCCCACAUCCAUGUCCAUCUGUCCCCAUGUCCUUGUCCUUAUGUCCCCACACACAUCCCCAUCUCUGAUGUCCCCACAUCCACGUCCAUCUGUCCCCAUGUCCUCGUCCCCACGUCCCCACAGACCCCCCCACCUCUGACACCCCCACCUCCCCACAUCACCGUGUCUAUCCCACAUCCACCUGUCCCCACACCUUUGCCUCGAUGUCCCCACGUGUCCCCAAACCCCCCCCCCUGUCCCCCCCCACAUCCCCACCUACCCAUAUAACUGUCAUCAUAGGUGGCGGCCGCCUGGCGAGUCUGCAGCUGCCCAGCCACAUCCUGGAUGAAGUAUUCGGGGUAAUUGGAGGCAGCAAUUUGCUCCUGCGUCGCCGACAUCACCUGCCCUGAGAUGGGGGGGGGAAGGGGGGACACCUCAGCACCCAUGGGUGGUGGUUGGGGGGGGGGUAUUUGGGGGUCACGAGGGCAUUAAGGGACACACGGAAGGGUAGAGGAGGGGUUUGGAGGG
rnacentral:lncRNA from 1 species